rnacentral:misc_RNA from 1 species
ACUGCAGAACUGCUAAAACACUAGUUAAAUGGCUAAGCCGAUGCUAAAUUCGACACCGAAAUUAAAGGAUUAUAUAUUUGCCGAAAAACUUGGCAGUGGGAGUUAUGCAACUGUAUAUAAAUCAUGUAGAAAGACUGGUGUUAGAGAAGUGGUGGCUAUUAAAUGUGUAUUGAAAAGUACACUAAACAAAAGAUCAACAGAAAAUUUACUCACUGAAAUUGAAUUAUUGAAAAAAUUAAAACAUGAACACAUUGUAGAGUUGAAAGACUUCUUGUGGGAUGAUAAAUUCAUUUAUCUCAUCAUGGAGUAUUGCAUUGGUGGAGACUUAUCACACUUCUUGAGAAAGAAGAGAGCUUUGCCAGAACUUGCUGUACGUCGGUUCCUGCAACAAAUAGCACUUGCCAUUCAUUUUUUAUGGAGUAAUAAUGUUGCUCACAUGGACCUAAAACCACAGAACAUACUCUUAACUUCCUCAGAGAACCCAAUACUAAAGAUUGCAGAUUUUGGAUUUGCUAAACAUAUAUUAGAAGGUACUGAAAUGCAUUCUAUGAGAGGUUCUUUAUUAUAUAUGGCACCAGAAAUCCUCUGCAAGCGGAAAUAUGACAGUCGAGUGGACCUGUGGUCUAUAGGCGUCAUUUUUUAUGAGUGCCUUUUUGGCCAAGCACCAUUUGCAUCGAGAAGUUUUACAGAACUGGAAGAAAAAAUCACUGGUAGCUGGCCUAUUGCGCUUCCAUAUGGAGUUGAAGUUUCAGACAAUUGUCGUGAUUUACUCCUCUCCUUGUUAAAAAGGGACCCAGAGAAACGGAUCAAAUUCACUGAGUUUUUCUGCCAUCCAUUUAUUGAUCUGGUUCAUGCGCCAUCUUCAGAAUCUUUGGAAAAAGCUACUAAAUGUAUUAGCACUGCUGUGACCGAAGAUAAAGCUGGUAAUAUUCCCACAGCUUUGGAACAUUACAGUGAUGCACUGGAACAUUUCGUGGCAGCAGUACACUAUGAAAGAGACUUUAUGAAGAAGAAAGCCCUACAAGAAAAGGUACAAACAUAUUUUAAUCGUGCAGAGGAGUUGAAGCAAACUUUAAAACCCAAAUCAUCACCUAAUCAGAAGACCCUCCAACGAAGUACCAGUUGCAGCGCUGCUGAGACCUCGUCACUAAAACCACUUGAUGAACUAAUGAUCCUUUGCACCAAUGACAAAGACCUUUUAAAUUCAAUACAGCAACUUAAACUAGCUGACAAUGAGGUUAAGAAGGAAAAUUAUAAAGCAGCUUUGAGUCACUAUGAAGGGUCUUUGGAGGUCUUAUUGAAAAUAUUAAAAAGUGAACCAAAAGGCAAGAGAAAAGAUUUACUACACCAAGAGGCAUAUAAAGCAUUGGAUAAAGCUGAAGAGAUUAAACGGUAUCAAUCUGUACCAAAGUUGACACAGAAUGAUAUACCAACUCUUGAUGAAGAAUCACAAAUGACAACUUUCCAUCAUGUCAAAGAAGACCGAGAGAACUCUGGAGGAGGAAAACAGAGGUUUUAAUGAGGAUUGGAAACUGCAAUAUUAUUUUUUGUCUGCUAAAGAUAAAAUGAUUUGCUUGCUUUGUGACACUGCAUAUCAACGUUGAAAAAUUUCUAUGCUCAUCAGCAUUAAGCCACUUCUAAAGGUCACAAAUAUUUCAGACUAGAAGAAGAGAUGUGAAAGGUUGCAUUAUGGGAAAGCAAAAGCAAAUGCAGUUAUUUCAAGCAGUGGUAAGACCUGGAAAUAAUGCCACAAAAGCAACUUAUAAAGUAGCUUAUAUGUGUGGGGAAAAAAAGGAAGCCAUUCCCCUGAAUGGCUUCCUUGGAAAUCAUAAAAGAAUGCAUUGUAGAAGUUGCAGGAUACUUAACCCACCAUAAGGUCUCAAAGUACAAACAACUGCCUCUUUCAAGGAGAACCAUAACUGACCAGCAGCAUGAAUUAACAGAACAACUUCACACAAUACUCCAAAAGGAAAAUAUAUAUUAUUUAAUUACUUUGCAUGAAUCCAUUAAUACAACUGACUCAGUGCAGGUUUUUAUACUUCAUUUGAGCCACAACAGAAUUGUAUUUUAACCUCAUGUAGUUGAUGUCUCCAAAGCUCCUAAAGAAUUACAGAUAGAAUUAAUUGAGCUCUCAGAAGAUGACAUUUUAAAGUUCUUAUUUAAUACUGAGAAAGAUCUCAUUGAAAUAUGGAAAAAUGCUUGUCCUUGGUAAUAAGCACAAAAAAUGCUUUCUUGCUUUUCAACCACUUAUUGCUGCAAAUCUACAUUCUCCUGCAUAACCAAAAUCAAGACACCAUUAAGGUCACAAAUGACAAAUACUCAUCUAGAGGAUCAGCUGAAACUGCAGAUUUCUAUGUUGCAACCAAAUAUCCAAAGGCUUUCCUACAGCUAACAGUCAACAGAGUCAUUAAAAGCUUUAUGUGCAGUGAUGUAACUUACCCAUUGAGCAGAACCAUCUGACAUUCCAUUGGGAUUUACGUUAAGUGACCUUAACUUUACUGAGAACACUUCCCACACUUUUUUAUAACUUGUCGCUGUAAUGAUCUCCCAUCCGUCACCCUUGCUGUAUUAAAGGAAAGUAUCAUUAUUAUUAUAAAUAAAAGAAAUCAUUAUUAUUAUAUUAUGAAAGAAAUCAUUAU